UACGUAGGGUGCAAGCGUUGUCCGGAAUUAUUGGGCGUAAAGAGCUCGUAGGCGGUCUGUCGCGUCGGCUGUGAAAGCCCGAGGCUUAACCUCGGGUCUGCAGUCGAUACGGGCUAGCUAGAGUGUGGUAGGGGAGAUCGGAAUUCCUGGUGUAGCGGUGAAAUGCGCAGAUAUCAGGAGGAACACCGGUGGCGAAGGCGGAUCUCUGGGCCAUUACUGACGCUGAGGAGCGAAAGCGUGGGGAGCGAACAGG
rnacentral:rRNA from 1 species